CCAAACACCCAGGCAGUAGGAGAGGAUGCUCUUCACUGAGGAGCAGUAGAAGGCCAGCACCAGCUUCUGGUCCAGGUUAUUCUUCCUCAGGACACGGAGGAAAUGCAGCCACUGCUGGGCCUUCUUUACCAGGGCGAUGGUGUUGUGGGUCCAGGUGGACUCCAGUUAAGUUGUAGAAACAUCUGAUGAUGAUGUGUGGAAACAGGAUGCACUUGAGCUCAACUUUGAGUGUCACGGUAAAGAGUUCAGAUCGUGCACGAUGAUCAGGAAUAAUUCGCUCCUGCAAUACAGGAAGGAAACUUCCCCUCUUGGCUCAGUGUGACCACCAUGUCUGUUCUUCAUGUGGUCCUCUCCCACUUGCCAUUAUUGGGGUUCCCUGAAGAGUACUUCAAAGCCUCCUUAGAUGUUUAGGCUUGUUCACACCUGUGAACCUACUUCAUAAAACCCUAACCCUUCCACAAGCAAAUCAGCGAUUUUGUUUGUGCCGCCUUCAUCUUAGCAUUUUCUC